UACGUAGGGGGCAAGCGUUAUCCGGAAUUAUUGGGCGUAAAGAGUGCGUAGGUGGUCUUGUAAGCGUGGGGUGAAAGGCAGUGGCUUAACCAUUGUAAGCCUUGCGAACUGUAAGACUUGAGUGCAGGAGAGGAAAGCGGAAUUCCUAGUGUAGCGGUGAAAUGCGUAGAUAUUAGGAGGAACACCAGUGGCGAAGGCGGCUUUCUGGACUGUAACUGACACUGAGGCACGAAAGCGUGGGGAGCAAACAGG
rnacentral:rRNA from 2 species